GCGGUUGUGGCGCGGCCAGCAGGGGGCGUCCGCCCUCCCGCCCCUUCCCCGUGCCCUCAGCGCUUCCGGUUCCGGCCGGCCCGCCCCGCCAUGCCAUGUCCGCGCUCAACUGGAAGCCGUUCGUGUACGGCGGGCUCGCCUCCAUGGUGGCCGAGUUCGGCACGUUCCCCGUGGACCUCACCAAGACGCGGCUGCAGGUGCAGGGCCAGAGCGCCGACGCGCGGUUCCGCGAGGUCCGGUACCGCGGGAUGUUCCACGCGCUGUUCCGCAUCUGCCGGGAGGAGGGCGGCCGGGCGCUCUACUCGGGGAUCGCCCCGGCGUUGCUGAGACAGGCGUCGUACGGCACCAUAAAGAUCGGCAUUUACCAGAGCUUGAAGCGGCUGUUUGUAGAUCGGAUGGAAGAUGAAACGUUGCUAAUCAAUGUGAUCUGUGGAGUGGUUUCAGGGGUGAUCUCCUCUGCAAUUGCCAACCCAACAGAUGUGCUGAAGAUUCGAAUGCAGGCUCAAGGCAGUUUGUUCCAGGGUGGCAUGAUCGGCAGCUUCAUCGACAUCUACCAGCAGGAGGGUACCCGAGGCCUGUGGAGGGGUGUUCUCCCGACAGCUCAGAGAGCUGCCAUCGUGGUCGGGGUGGAACUGCCGGUCUACGACAUCACCAAGAAGCACUUAAUUCUGUCAGGCCUGAUGGGUGACACCAUCUUUGCCCACUUCGUACGCUUUAGCUGGAGGUGCUGCAGUGCUUCUCUUGGGUUUGCCUGCUGUGGGCUGAAGGUGACAAGCACUAGACCAGACGUGGAGGGAGGAGAGUAGCAGCUGCAUGCUCCCUCUUGCUGCCUUUGCUCUUCCUCCCUCCUUCCCCGCCCCGAAGAAGUGUUUGCUCUGGUGAAAAGGAUGUGCGCUUCCACGAGGCUGCCCCAGGUCCAGUUUUACGUGUGGGCUGGCUGGGGCCAUUGCCUCCAACCCUGUGGACGUGGUGCGGACACGAAUGAUGAACCAGCGGGCGAUCGUGGGCAGCACGGAGCUCUACAGGGGCACUCUGGAUGGCCUGGUGAAGACAUGGAAGAGCGAGGGCUUCUUUGCACUCUAUAAAGGCUUCUGGCCCAACUGGCUUCGGCUGGGUCCCUGGAACAUCAUUUUUUUUAUCACAUACGAGCAGUUGAAGCGACUUCCAUUCUGACAGCUGGCUUCAUUUCACGAGAGUCAUCUUGCAGACUUGCAGCAGAGCGCUUUGCUGCAGCCUUCCUCUUCAUUUCACCAUCCCCAUGUCUUGAUGUUUUGGUCCACGUGGGUCUGGGCUCUCCCCCAAAUGCAUGGUCCCUGGAGCAUGAUCUGGCCGACGUGUAACUGGGAGGCUGAUGGUGGGUGCUGCAUGUUGUUUCCCGCAGAGGCGAGUAUUACCGGUGUACAAGUGUCUGGGCCUGAAGCGAUAUCUUCUGUGAAGAUCCGUGCAUUCCAGUGGCCUUUUGGUGCAGCUGUGGUUUGUUGUUGGGUGCGUGUGCGUUUCUGUGCCCGCAGGGCGAGGCUGGAGGCUGGGAAGGGGUGCUGUCGUGUUUUCUUGCAGAACCGUAACCUCAUUAAAUUAUUUAUUGACUGGA